rnacentral:rRNA from 1 species
GCGCAGCAGGCGAGAAUUUUUCUCAAUGGGCGAAAGCCUGAAGGAGCGACGCCGCGUGGAGGAUGGAGGCCUUCGGGUUGUAAACUCCUGUCAUUUGAGAACAAGUGUCGGCAAGUAACUACUGCCGACUUGAUAGUAUCAGAAGAGGAAGGGACGGCUAACUCUGUGCCAGCAGCCGCGGUAAUACAGAGGUCCCAAGCGUUGUUCGGAUUCAUUGGGCGUAAAGGGUGCGUAGGUGGCGCCAUAAGUCAGGUGUGAAAUUUCGGAGCUUAACUCCGAAACUGCAUUUGAUACUGUGGUGCUUGAGGACUGGAGAGGAGACUGGAAUUUACGGUGUAGCAGUGAAAUGCGUAGAGAUCGUAAGGAAGACCAGUGGCGAAGGCGGGUCUCUGGACAGUUCCUGACACUGAGGCACGAAGGCCAGGGGAGCAAACGGGAUUAGAUACCCGCGUAGU